rnacentral:rRNA from 1 species
UUACUCAGCGGAGGAAAAGAAACAGCAAUGGAUGGACACAGUAACGGCGAGUGAAGUGUCCUGAGCCCAUACCUUAAUCACUGUUGCAGUGAGUUGUGGUUAUGCCUUUCUUGUGUUUUGCUGCUACAUUAAGUCCUUUGGAACAAGGCAGUCUAUGAGGUGAUACUCCUGUAUAUGUGGCAGCAGCUUAGCAGGAUUGGAUGUUGAGUCGAGAUGUUUGGGAUUACAGCUCUAAUGGGUGGUGAAUUCUAUCCAAGGCUAAAUAUAGGAUGGAGACCAAUAGCGUAAAAGUACCGUGAGGGAAAGAUGCAAAGCCAUGCGAAAGCACUUUUAAAAAGCACCUGAAAUUGUCGAGCUAUAAACAAAGAAAUACAGAACAGCCUUGAGUGUUUUGGUUAGCGGCAUUUUGCUGUUGGCUGAUUACACUCAUCUACUCUGAGUGUAGUUCCUGCCUAGGGCCACGUGUCCUUUUCGGGG